GGCUCAGAUUGAACGCUGGCGGCAGGCCUAACACAUGCAAGUCGAGCGGCAGCGGAAAGUAGCUUGCUACUUUGCCGGCGAGCGGCGGACGGGUGAGUAAUGUCUGGGAAACUGCCUGAUGGAGGGGGAUAACUACUGGAAACGGUGGCUAAUACCGCAUAACGUCGCAAGACCAAAGUGGGGGACCUUCGGGCCUCACGCCAUCGGAUGUGCCCAGAUGGGAUUAGCUAGUAGGUGGGGUAAUGGCUCACCUAGGCGACGAUCCCUAGCUGGUCUGAGAGGAUGACCAGCCACACUGGAACUGAGACACGGUCCAGACUCCUACGGGAGGCAGCAGUGGGGAAUAUUGCACAAUGGGCGCAAGCCUGAUGCAGCCAUGCCGCGUGUGUGAAGAAGGCCUUCGGGUUGUAAAGCACUUUCAGCGAGGAGGAAGGCAUCAUACUUAAUACGUGUGGUGAUUGACGUUACUCGCAGAAGAAGCACCGGCUAACUCCGUGC
rnacentral:rRNA from 1 species